rnacentral:rRNA from 1 species
UACGUAGGGGGCAAGCGUUGUCCGGAAUCAUUGGGCGUAAAGAGCGUGUAGGCGGCCCGAUAAGUCCGCUGUGAAAGUCCAGGGCUCAACCCUGGGAUGCCGGUGGAUACUGUCGGGCUCGAGUCCGGAAGAGGAGUGUGGAAUUCCUGGUGUAGCGGUGAAAUGCGCAGAUAUCAGGAGGAACACCAGUGGCGAAGGCGGUGCUCUGGGCCGGAACUGACGCUGAGGAGCGAAAGCGUGGGGAGCAAACAGG